UACGGAGGGUGCAAGCGUUGUCCGGAGUCACUGGGCGUAAAGGGCGCGUAGGCGGCUCAUUAAGUCUGUGGUGAAAGUCCGGGGCUCAACCUCGGAUCGGCCGUGGCGACUCGUGGGCUGGAGCACUGUAGAGGCGGGUGGAAUUCCGGGUGUAGCGGUGGAAUGCGUAGAGAUCCGGAGGAACACCAGUGGCGAAGGCGGCCCGCUGGGCAGUGGCUGACGCUGAGGCGCGACAGCGUGGGGAGCAAACAGG
rnacentral:rRNA from 1 species